AUUUAGCAGCAAAGACGGUGCCCCAGGAAAGGCAGAGGAGAGACCUGGAGGGCCAGUGAUGCUUGGUUCCUGCUAGCCUGAACCCCCCAGGAUCCUCAUGGCCUAGAGAAUAAGGUGGGGCUCCCCAGGAGACCUGGGUGAGAAUGAAAUUCUGGCCUGCUCGGAGCAUACUGCCUGGAGAUGCGGUGAGCACUGUCUCAGCACUAACUCUCUGGUAGCUCUGUGCUCUGUGAACAUCCCGUUCCCUGCGCUGUCCUCCCACAGUGCCUUGAAGUGUGCCCUGCACAGUAGGGCUCAGCAAAGGUGUGUUUGGAUUUGGAUGUGCAGCCCCGAGCCCACCUCCAUGUCAGGAAAGCCUCGCUGCAGUGCAGUCUGAUAGGAGAGCCAGCAGCCUCCGCAGGGACUGAGCGCCCUGCAUCCUGAGGUGUGCACCUGGGGCCAGACCACUCCGCCAGGGCUGCUGGGAAGGGGUCUCUCCCUGUCCUGGGUCAUAGGAGCACUGUUGGAACCAGGAUCAGGCUCAGAUUCUGGGCCUGUGACCCCAGCCCCUUGCUAGGCUAGGUAUCUACUCACCAGGUGAGGGGGAAGCCUCUCCUGGGUAUAGUGGGACACCCUCGUCCUAGGUCCUGCUUCCCGCCUUGGCCUCAGACUGGGUCGUGCCUGGACCAAUUGAACAAACCCAGGCUUUGGGUACCUAGAAUUUUAAAAAAUUAAUUAGAGCAUUAAAUGGCAGCCCUCUGGGAGAAUCCCACCAUCUGGCUGUCAUGGGAGAGGCAAGAAAAUCUAUGCAUAUUUGUCUGCAGUGUGUGAGCAUCAUAUGAAGCCAACUGUGCAUGUGUGGGUAUGCGGUCUGUGUGCUGCAGUGUGUGUCCAGCAUGACAUGCGUGUCUGAGUAUGUUCAGUAUGUGGCGCACACCUGAGUGUGCAAGUGGGUGGUGUGUGCCUUGCUGUAUGCACGGGUGCCCAUCUGCAAGUACAUGCGCUGUGUGCAUGUGCCUGAGUGUCUGCACGUCUGUCUGAACAUACCUCUGUGUGUGGUCCAUGCUCAGGCCUGCCUUUUUGGUGCAGUGAGCCAGGCUGAGCUGUGUGCAGAUAGGGAAGGGGCUCGUGACUCCUCCUGGCUGAGGUGGUGGGCACAGACAGCUGUGUAGAAGGUGGGACGGGGUAAGUGUGGCAAGUGCACAGCUGGCCUUCAGUGGGUGAGGCAGGGCAGGCAUCCUUGCCCUCAUUUGACAGAUGGGAAAACCCAAAACUGGAGCCUGGGCUCUGGGGCUCCCUGCGUGGUGCUCUUUCUGUUCCAGCGGGCUGCUGCCCUGGCUGGCACCUAUGCUUUUGGCAUCUUUAUGCUGUUAGAUUUUCAUGGUGGCUCAAAGUGGUUCUGAGAGAGUACCACCCCCCCUACUCAGUAUUGCUCAGGGGGCAAGGUCAGGAUUCCCACUGCACAUCCUGUGUUCUUCCUGUUUCAAGGAGGAGAUAUCAGGGCUGCUGGAGAAUGCUGGGCCUGAUAGUCCUCUGACUGCUGUGUGACCUGGGCCCAUCCUGUCCCUCUCUGAACCUCAGGGGUGAUUGUAAGAACUAAAUGAGGAGACAUAUACAAAGGGCUUCGUAAACCAGGAGAUGAGGUGAGGUGAUGUAGACAGAUGAGGGCCUGGCCCAGAGAUGGCAUCACAAUACGAUCAGAGCCAAAGCUGAGGCCCAAGUUCAUGUGUCCCAGGGUUUCCUGAGGAGCAGGCCAGGAGGUGGGACCCAGGACAGAGGCAGGUGCCCUCCCAGCCUUGCAGACUCUGAACCUGUCCUCAGAACCAUCUGCCUGGUGCCAGCACUCUCCUCCAACUCCAGCCCCAGACACAUGGCUCAUGGCAGUGAAGUAAAGCAGGAACAGACCCAGGGAGCAGUGGGAUCCAACCCCUCAACUGGUGUUGACGCUGAGGCCCAGAGAGGGGGAGUGGCUUACUCAAAGCCACGCAGCAGCUCGGGGGGUAGAGCUGGGACCAAAACCCAGGCCUCCUGGCCCCUGGCUCUGUUCUCCUUGGUACCAUACCACUGUCUUUGGCAAGAGAAAGAGGACACAAGAGCUAGUUCACAUGCCUGGAGAAAAGGAUGUGGGAGUGCCACCCAGCUAGACAGCACUAGAACAGACCAGAGCCCCACUUCCUGCAUGAAUGGAGGAUCUGAAGCAAGGCUUCAAUGAUUACUGCUUUUCCUAGGUAUGCAGAAUGCUGGAGGGUAAAUAGGGUUUGUGUCCUGGGCUGUACAUUCUGUAUAGAUGGAAAAGCCCCAGGCUUCCAGAUUGCCUGCAUGCGAUGCCUUCAGCACACGCUUCCUCAGUGCCUGCCUCCACCGAGCUGCUAGUCUGGUAGAGAAAGAUGGUUGAGUGCCACCAACACAGGAUGAUGAGGCUGUGGAUCAGAAGAGGUCUCUGAUCCCACAUGGGGUCGUGGAAAGCUUCCCAAUAGAAUAGAGAAGGGGAGGAGGGUCCUCCACUCCCAACUCCCAGAGAGUGAGGAAUGUGUGCGCCUCAGACACCCUGGCCCCCUGGCAGUCUGGGCCUCAUAAGAGCUCAUGCUUGGGCAGGCUCACCGUUCACCCUGGAGUGGGUGGCUGGGUGCCUUCCAGCUUCCUCCUCAGCGCCUCUCCUGUGCCAGGGCCCAUGCACGUGGGUGGAGGAGAGGCCAUUCUAGAGGCCCCUGGCUCCCUGUGGGGCUGAGGAGAGACUAGUGUGGGGGCAGGGGUGGAGGUGCAGGGAAGCUGGUGGCCAGACCUCCUGUGACCUCCACUCAUUGCCUGUGUGUCCAGGUGGGCCAGUCUCAGCUGCCCCGCUUGGCGUUAUAACCAUUGUGGUGUUAGCCAGGGACGAGGCUUCUGAAGUAGCCUGCACUGUGAGCCCCGCUGGCUGCCAGGUAAUAAUUCCACCCGCCUUGACCUUUUUCUCCAAGGAACAGGCCUUCUACUUUAUACAUGGAGAAAACAAGUCACAGAAGAACCAGGUGGCCCAGGAUGACAGAGGCUAGGCCUCCAGAUGCCCUUUAAAAA
rnacentral:lncRNA from 10 species